AGCGUGGACUCCCUGGGCACCCUCCCCCCAGCAGCUGUCUGCAGGAGCUGCGAGCUGCUAGCUGCGCUAUCACAAAUGUUAAAAUGUAACUCCUCUUUGCUUUUCCUCAACCAACAGCAGCGCAGCCGAGCAAAGGUGAACUGUGUGGUGUUGAUAAUCUAAUCGGGAGCACAGGGCCUCCCCGGGUGGGUGCCCCAUUCCGAUCCGCUGCCCCUGAGAGGUGGGCCUUGGGAGAGGCAGGGCUUGGACGCCCUUCCUCGGGGCAGCGGGGUGCAGGGAGAGUUCUUCUGGCUGUGAGUCCCGGAGUCCCCGACCCUGGCACCCCUUCAGCAAGGUUCUCAGGCACAUCUGCCGGGGGCGCUGAGGGGACCUGAGAUGGACGGGCCGGGAGGGAGGCUGAGGAGAACACAGCAGGUCCCUCCGACCGCAGUCGGCCUCUCCAGCCUGCCAUGCCUCUGGCCAUGAGGCGACCCGCUGGAGUGAUGGAUUCCCGUCACUACCACCCACAGGGCGAGGGGGUGCAUUGGUCUGCUUGGGCCGCUGUAACAAAAUGCCACAGCCUGGAUGAGUGACUGACAUUGCUUCCCCACCGUUCUGGAGGCUGGAGGCCCGAGAUCGAGGUCCCUGACACUAUUUCAGUGAUGCCAGAGCCCAGGAGGAGUCGACCAAGCCCCAGCGUGGCCAUAAGCACCUUCGCAGGACCACGGAGUCGCUGCAGGUGUUCAGCCCUGUUGAGAGUGGGAGUCGGUGUCGAUGGUCACAGCUCAGUAACUCAUCGUCACCAGCGAGUACCACAGAGCAGACACAACUGCACUUCUCUGUAGAGCCUCCAGUCGAUACUGAGAGCCACUGGGGCGUCUGACACCCAAGGGUGCAGACAUUCACUCCAAGUCCAGAGACCGCGCCCUUUCUAAGGCCCUGUCUCACAGUCGCCCCGUGCUCAUUGUGCCGGAUGUUUCCACAGCCACAGAGACGGUGCGUGAAGGUGAGGUGCAGCCUAGUGCAUAUGACUGACAGAAACGUGAAGCCACAGUGGACGCCUGGAUGAGACACAGAUCACCUUCCAAAUCUGAGUGUGGCCUUGGGACCAACCAGGCAGCCAGGGAGAAGGCAGAGACCAGAGGGAACCCAGGUGCCCUCAAUCCCAGCCUCCUCUAUCCCAGCCUCCCAAUCCCAGCCUCCCCAAUCCCAGCCUCCUAAUCCCAGCCUCCUCCAUCCCAGGACCCCCACUCCCAGCCUCCCGAUCCCAGCUUCUCUGAUCCCAGCCUCCCCUAAAACCCAGACUCUAUGAAUCCCAGCCUCUGAGGUGGGAACUGUUAGUAACCCCACUCCAUGGACAAGAAAGCUGGGGCCUGGCGAGGCUAACAGACUAUCCUGAUGGUGUGAGGGAGGGAUCGGCCUCUGAGGGCUGCUUCCACCCAUCUCACCAGUGGCUGCAGGCUCCAGGCGCCACUUUCCUUGAGUCUAUGUUCUUUCCAAGCAUCCUGCAGCUCCAGAAGCUCUGGAGCCGCCAGCACUGAGAGAAGCGAUGGAGCUGCAUGCAGGGUGAGUGUAGGACCGGGCGGAGCUGCUCUGUGGCUGGCGGGCACAUUCUUUGUCAACAUGAGCAUCUCUCACUGUUCCUAGACCCCCUGGCUCCCCAGCUUCCUUGGAGCCAGGCGUGGCCACAGGAAAAUGUUUAGGUCAAUGACAGGAAACUUUGUUGACAGCGGUGUCUGGAUGGACCAGCAGAGGGCACUCUCACCCACGGGGAAAAUCGUGCGCCCGGCCUCGUCCACCGCCAGAAGACGCCGCUACACAAUGGAGUCUCGCUCUGUCGACCAGGCUGGAGUGCAAUGGUGCGAUCUCGGCUCACUGCAAUCUCUGCCUCCCGGUGAGAGGUGAAGCCAGCUGGACUUCCUGGGUCUAGUGGGGACUUGGAGAACUUUUCUGUCUAGCUAAAGAUUUGUAAAUGCACCAAUCAGUGCUGUGUCUAGCUAAAGUUUGUAAACGUACCAAUCAGCACUCUGUAAAAAUGGGCCAAUCAGCACUCUGUAAAAUGGACCAAUCAGCACUCUGUAAAAUGGACCAGUCAGCAGGAUGUGGGCGGGGUCAAAUAAAGGAAUAAAAAGCUGGUAGCCGAGCCGGCAGUGGCAAACCGUUUGGGUCCUUCUCGGUACCCUGGUGGCUUUGUUGUUUUGCUCUUUGCAAUAGAUCUUGUUGCCGCUUGCUCUUUGGGGCCUCACUGCCUUUAUGAGCUAUAACACUCCCCGCAGAGGUCUGCAGCUUCAUUCUUGAAGCCAGCGAGACCACGAACCCACUGGGAGGAACCAACAACUCCAAACGCGCCACCUGUAAGAGCUGUAACACUCCCUGUGAAGGUCUGUGGCUUCACUCCUGAAGUCAGCGAGACCAGGAACCCACCGGAAGGAACUCCGGACACAAAGAACUGCAACACUCACCCGAGGGUCUGUGGCUUCAUUCUUGAAGUCAGUGAGAUUAAGAACCCACCGGAAGGAACCAGUUCCGGACGUGCCGAGUUCAAGCAAUUGUCCUGCCUCAGUCUCCGGAGUAACUGGGAUUACAGGUGCACGCUGCCAUGCCCAGCUAAUUUGUAUUUUAGUAGAGUCGAGGUUUCACCGCGUUGCCCAGGCUGGUCUCGAAUUCCUGAGCUUGGGCAACCCACUCACCUCGGCCUCCCAAAGUGCUAGGAUUACAGGCGUGAGCCACCAGGCCGGGCCCGUAUGGUGGUUUCUACUCCGGACUGACUCUCCCGGGUCUUGGUCACUCUGCAGAAUCCUGGACCGGAAGGGGGCCUCGGCCAGGGGAGGGCUUGCGAGGAGCCCCGGACCUACUGGCCAUUAUAGGGUGACGGGAAGUUCCUUGCAUCCCGGGAUCCCAUGGCACUUGGUCAGGGAAGCCUCCCCAGAGAGGCCCAACUCCCCAGAUCCAGGUGGGGAAUCAGGGUACCAGCCAGGCAGUGUUCCCACCCCAGCCAUGCUGCUGGCUUCCGUCCCUGUGGUGGGGUCACCCAGGUGGCUCAUGCCUCCACGCACAGCCUUGUGGACACCCCCACACCGCCCAUAGUCAAGUCAGAGCUCACGAGCCCACAGGGCAGAUACCCGCCACGAGGGGACGGUGGGCCAGGAGGGUCCUCUGUGGGCAGCGCCGUGUUCCUGAUCUCCCCAGGCUGCUGGGGGAUGGGGUGGGGCAGAGGAGGCCACCUUCCCAUUUCCCACUUUGCUGGGUCUCCCUCUUUGCUGGACAGUGCUGGGGCAGGUUACACACCCAUGACAGUGUGAGGACUGAGGGUGCGCGUCCUGGAGCCUUCAGGGCUUGGGUGGAGGGGGCAGCUUGUCCCCCUGAGGCCUGGGCCAGAGAUCCCAUUCUGAAUGCGGAGAGCCAAGAUUCUACCUGGAUCCUGGCCUUGUGGGUCACUGUGACGGCCCAGAGCUGACUUUAUGUGACAGUUUGUCCUGAGAUUUAAAACUGAAUAUUUAGACUCGUGGGAUCUGGGCAUCCACUUCAACCAAGGAUGGGGACAGGCAGCAGGGUGGAGGGUGGACGAUGCAGGAAGAUGCUGUAGGACCAAGAACAAGGGGGCUGUGAGGCAAAGGAGCAGCACGAGGAGCCGUGUGUGCCCACUGCCACUUGCAGCCUCAUUUCUCAACCCGACUGUGAUGACUGCCGCUUGCUGGAAAGAUGCUCUGAAGACACAAUGAACUGACAAUGCGUCACCCCGACUCCUGCCUGAGCCACUCCAUUCCUUAAAGACGGUACGUGACUCACGUCCUUGCUGUGUCCUGCACGAGAUAAGGUCUGGCAGGGUUGGUAAUUAUGCCUCUGGGAUCUGUAACCAGACAUUCUCUGUAACCAUUCUGUAUAAUCUGGACGUUCUCUGUAAUCCAGAUGUUCUGUGUAAACUGAAGUUCUCUGUAAUUGGACUUUCUCUAUAACCAGUUGUCCUCUGUAACCUUCUCUAUAAUCCAGAUGUUCUUUGCAACCAGAUAUUCUCUCUAACCAGACAUUCUGUAUAAUCCAGACAUUCUCUGUAACCAGAUGUUUUCUAUAAUCCAGAUUUUUUUUUUUUUUUGAGACAGUUGCACUCUUUUUGCCCAGGCUGGAGUGCAAUGGUGAGAUCUUGGCUCCCUGCAACCUCCACCUCCCAGGUUCAAGCGAUUCUCCUGCUUCAACCUCCCUAGUAGCUGAGAUUACAGGCAUGCACCACCAUGCUUAGCUAAUUUUGUAUUUUUAGUAGAGACGGGGUUUCUUCAUGUUGGUCAGACUGCUCUCAAACUCCUGACCUCAGGUGAUCCGCCCACCUCGGCCUCCCAAAGUGCUGGGAUGACAGACGUGAGCCACCGCACCCGGCCCUGGAUGUUCUUUUUAAUCCAGAUAUUCUCUGUAAUCCAGACGUUCUCUACAACCAGACAUUCUCUGUAAUCGGACAUUCAGUACAAUCCAGGCUUUCUCCGUAACCAGACGUUCUCUAUAAUCCAGACGUUCUCUGUAACCCACACGCAGCUCCGUGUGACUCUGCUCUUCCGUGACUUCUGCGUCUAUAAUCCAGACGUUCUCUGUAACCCACGUGCAGCUCCGUGUGACCCUGCUCUUCCGUGACUUCUGCGUCUAUAAUCCAGACGUUCUCUGUAACCCACUGCAGCUCCGUGUGACUCUGCUCUUCCGUGACUUCUGCGUCUAUAAUCCAGACGUUCUCUGUAACCCACUGCAGCUCCGUGUGACUCUGCUCUUCCGUGACUUCUGCAUCUAUAAUCCAGACGUUCUCUGUAACCCACUGCAGCUCCGUGUGACUCUGCUCUUCCGUGACUUCUGCGUCUAUAAUCCAGACGUUCUCUGUAACCCACUGCAGCUCCGUGUGACUCUGCUCUUCCGUGACUUCUGCGUCUAUAAUCCAGACGUUCUCUGUAACCCACUGCAGCUCCGUGUGACUCUGCUCUUCCGUGACUUCUGCGUCUAUAAUCCAGACGUUCUCUGUAACCCACUGCAGCUCCGUGUGACUCUGCUCUUCCGUGACUUCUGUGCACAUUUCGAGCUGCAUCACCAGAGCUGUGCCAGGAGCUGGGACUGUUCCGCAGCAGCCUGACCAUGUGCCUCUGAAAGACCCCUCCCGGGCUGCAGUGCUCAGAAAAACUUCCAAAUAAGAUGAACUUCCCUUAUUUAAAAGCUUGACUCCUUUUUUAGUGGACAGGGCUAUGAGCUGAGGGACACGAGACGUCCAGGACAGGAGGGCCGGCCUUGUCUCAGGCCCUGCUCCCUCACCAAAGGCUCUGUGCUCUGUUCUCCUUCUGAGCCAGCUGUCCUGAAACGGAGGCCCUUUUGUGACCCGACUUGGUCUGUUGGCGGGGGACAGACACCAAGGCCAUGUCUCACACCGGUCAUGGCCAGCCCCCGGCCCUCCUUCCCUCCUCCCCUCCUUCCCUGCUGUAGCCUUUAGGGUUCAGACCCUGGCUGUCCUGUCCUCAUUGGGGCUGAUGCCCUGCCAUGCCCCCCAGGAGCCCCCGUGCUCGGCAGGCUUGGGCUGGGAGGCGCAGUCUCCAGUCUCCAGCAGACACCACCUUACCCAGGUACAUGGCACUUUCCUCAUUAGGGUGACAUUUUCCUCAUCAGUGAGGCUCUCGCCUCCUGAGUUGCACCACCCCUGCGCCAGCGUGGUUGGUCUCCAGAGUCAUACAUGAGCAUGGCGGGCUUGCCUCCAGGAACCAGAGGGUCCUCUGGGGGUUGGGGCACAAGGGGCCGCCCUGACCUCCCCAGACCCUAAUGCGAUUCCCACAGCUCUCGUCCACGAAGCACCAGGCCUCGGCCACGUUUCUAAUCUCGUGAUCCCUCCUGGAAAUCCCAGACAUGACAGAUCCCAACGGGGUGAUGCUUGCAUCACUGAACCAACCCCAGGACACCGGAGAGCUGGCCGUGUGGGGAACCCGUGGAUCCACCUGGGCCCUGGAGCUGGGGAUGUUGGUAGUGUGCGGGGAGGCGGCAAGGCAAGACGGGCAGGAGGAGGCAGCUCUGUCCAGGGCCCAGGCGUCCCUCACGCCGUUUCCAGGCACCCGCAGACUUCAGGAGUCUUAGUCAUCGUUGGGUGUUUGGGGCUCUCUAGUCCCAGUAGGUGCUGGGACUCUCAAACCUCACAGCUACCACCCUGGUGCUAUCGUUACGGACGAUCGCACUUUUGAGAAAAUUGGGCACCGUUGCCAGAGCAGCAGUUAGGCCUCAAGCCAACUAGGCUCCAGAGCGCCUGCCGCCAACCAUCAUACCACAGGGCACGGUCUCGGAUAUUAAACGUCUGGUUGGA
rnacentral:lncRNA from 1 species